CGUGCAUAUUUGGUAGUAGUUAUUACUAUUUUCUUUUAAGAAAUGAACUUAGUUGAAAAUGUAAAAUAACUAUACUUCGAACUUGAAAUCUCAAGUACCAACCAUCAAUGUGAGACCUCAGUUAGUCCUAUAUAUAAAAUAUAAUAGGGCUAAACUCUUAACCCGGCUUAAACAUUUUGGGUGGUGGCUAGGCUUUAGAGAUUAAGAGAGUUAAGCGUACUAGGACGAGAGUAGUCCUAGGAUGGGCGAUAAUAAUGAUCUAUCUGCGAGCAUUUUCUUAAUAAAUAUGCCAAAUAAUUCUACUCAUGUAGCAUUUCUGUCAGAAGCUCAAUUGGGCCGAAUUGGCUCUAGAUUAAAGCAAUUGAGGG
rnacentral:lncRNA from 1 species